rnacentral:lncRNA from 1 species
CAGGGAAUGAGAGGAGUGGAGACGUGUUCCAGAUGUGGAGUCAGCAAGCUCUACAACUGGAAGGUGAGGGGCAGGAAGGAGUCCAGGUUUCUGGUUUGGAAACUAGGUGGAUGGUGAUAUCUCAGCUAAGCCAAGGGUCAUAGCUGGAGGAAAAGGAGCUUUGGACCUGGCGGAGCCAUCAGAAUGUUCAUCCCUGUGCUGUCCACCCAGGAAAGCAAGCGUCAGCCUGUGGGGCUGCUCUGUGGCAGCACAGACAGCUUGUGGAAGACAGGAGGAUGGUCAUUAGCCUCAUCUGUAAGGCCCAGCAGAAGGCUCUGGAGGGCCUUUCAGGGCUGUGCUCGCAGUGCCUGGGUGGGAGGCUUGCGGGGAGGGGGGUCCUGCACUCUGCCAAACCUGCCCUGGGCCCCUCCCUCUGGCACUGUUUGCGUAUCUUCCUGCUUCCUCCAGACAUCUCAUUCUCCUUGGAUUGUAAAUAAAAGAACAAUAUAG